UGAGGAAUAUUGCACAAUGGGCGCAAGCCUGAUGCAGCAACGCCGCGUGCGGGACGAAGGCCUUCGGGUCGUAAACCGCUUUUCUGGGGGAAGAGCAAGGACGGUACCUCAGGAAUAAGUCUCGGCUAACUACGUGCCAGCAGCCGCGGUAAAACGUAGGAGGCAAGCGUUAUCCGGAUUUACUGGGCGUAAAGCGCACGCAGGCGGCUCUGUUAGUCGGACGUGAAAGCUCUCGGCUUAACCGGGAGAGGCCGUUCGAUACUGCGGUGCUUGAGGUAGGGAGAUGAAUGCGGGAUUCCCGGUGUAGUGGUGGAAUGCGUAGAUAUCGGGAGGAACACCUGUGGCGAAAGCGGCAUUCUGGCCCUCACCUGACGCUGAGGUGCGAAAGCGUGGGUAGCAAACA
rnacentral:rRNA from 1 species